CUACACUUGCGGCGCUCUGGUGCCCGCGCGCGGUAUCGCGCCGCGCGCAGUUAAACGGGAAGCAGGGAGCGAAGUCCUCUCCGGACGAGCCAACCUGCGCUGUCCUCGCAACGGUACAACGACCGCAGAUCCUGCAGGUCGACCCAUGCACGCGUCGAACCGUCUGUGUGUUCGAACGCCGUGCGAGAAGCCACUGCGCGCUUGCGCGCGGGAAGGCGGGUCGGCAAGUCGUCAGCCCGGAUACCGGCCAGAGGCAAGGGGCGCGU
rnacentral:ncRNA from 2 species